rnacentral:lncRNA from 1 species
CCCUACCUUAAGCCCUACUUUGAUAAAAUUAAAACUUAAUUUUUAUCUCAUGUCAUAGGGUGGGGCAGAAAACAAUAUCACGUCUAUGUACAAACAAAAAUUGUUGAAAUGACAAAAGAUAACCAAACAUCAAACCAGAAGUGUCAUCCAGUUAAGAACCACCCCACGAUCAGACAUCUGGAAAUUGAAGAGUAUAUCUAUAAGCACGGGAAACUCUAGGUAGAAGAGAAAAUGUAUAGAAAUAAAAAUACUAUUAUGUACUCCCUUUGCCACCCUCGAUUAACACAAUAUCAAUGACUCAUCAAAGAUCUGUCCGCGUCCAAAAACCAGACCAAGAUAGCCCCCACAUUAAGCUCCUACAGUGAUGGAAUCAAAACCUAUUUUGUAUCUCCUGUCACAGGGUAGGCCCAAAACAAUAUCCAAGUCUAUAUAACAACAAAAGAAUAUAAUAGAGAGAUCAAAUGCAACCAAUUAUGAACCCAGAACUGCCUUCCAGUUAAGCUUGAUUAAGAACCAAACAACGAUCAGGCAUCUGGAAAUCGAAGAGAAUAACAAUAAGCACGGGAAAGUCAAGAUGGAAGAUAAAUUGUAGCAGAAUUAAUACAAUACUAUACUCCCUCUGACACCCUCGAUAAACAUUAUAUCAGUGACAGCAUCAAAAGUUGAUGUCUCCAGUAACUAGACCAAGAUUAGCCCCACCAUAAGCUGCUUCUUUCACAACUUAAUUUUUAACUCCUGUCACAAGGUGAGGCAGAAAACAAUAUCCACGUCUACGUAACAAAUAAAAGAUUGUUGAAACUGACAAAAGAUAACCAAGCAUACCAGAAGUGCCUUCCAGUUAAGAACCACACAACAAUCAGACAUCUGGAAAUUGAAGAGUAUAACUAUUAGCACGGGAAACUCUAGGUAGAAGAGAAAAUGUAGGUAGAAAAAAAAUACUAUUAGUACUCCCUUUACCACCCACUAUUAACACUAUAUCAAUGACAGCAUGAAGGAUUUGUCAGUGUCCAAAAACCAGACCAAGACAGCCCCCACCUUAAGCUCCUACUUGAUAGAAUCAGAACCUAUUUUGUAUCUCCUAUCACAGGGUGAGGCUGAAACCAACAUCCGAGUCUAAAUAACAACAAAAGAACUACAAUAGAGAGAGCAAAGGUAACCAACUAUCAAACCCGAACUGCCGUCCAGUUAAGCUUGAUUAAGAACCACACAACGAUCGGGCAUCUGGAAAUGAAGAGAAUAACGAUAAGCACCGGAAGGUCUAGAUGGAAGAUAAAUUGUAUAGAAGAAAUACUAUACUAUACUCCCUCUGCCACCCUCGAUAAACACACUAUAUAGUGACCACGUCAAAGGAUUGACUUGUGUGCAAUAACUUGACUAAGAUUAGCCCUACCUUAAGCUCCUACUUGAUAAAAUUAAAACUUAAUUUUUAUCUCAUGUCAUAGGGUGGGGCAGAAAACAAUAUCCACGUCUAUGUAGCAAACAAAAUUGUUGAACUGACAAAAGAUAACCAAACAUCAAACAGAAGUGUCUCCAGUUAAGAACCACCCCACGAUCAGACAUCUGGAAAUUGAAGAGUAUAUCUAUAAGCACGGGAAACUCGAGGUAGAAGAGAAAAUGUAGUAGAAUAAAAAUACUAUUAUGUACUCCCUUUGCCACCCUCGAUUAACACAAUAUCAAUGACUACAUCAAAGAUCUGUCGCGUCCAAAAACCAGACCAAGAUAGCCCCCACAUUAAGCUCCUACAGUGAUGGAAUCAAAACCUAUUUUGUAUCUCCUGUCACAGGGUAGGCUCAAAACAAUAUCCAAGUCUAUAUAACAACAAAAGAAAUAUAAUAGAGAGAUCAAAUGCAACCAAUUAUGAACCCAGAACUGCCUUCCAGUUAAGCUUGAUUAAGAACCAAACAACGAUCAGGCAUCUGGAAAUCGAAGAGAAUAACAAUAAGCACGGGAAAGUCAAGAUGGAAGAUAAAUUGUAGCAGAAUUAAUACAAUACUAUACUCCCUCUGACACCCUCGAUAAACAUUAUAUCAGUGACAGCAUCAAAAGUUGAUAGUCUCCAUAACUAGACCAAGAUUAGCCCCACCAUAAGUGCUUCUUUCACAACUUAAUUUUUAACCCCUGUCACAAGGUGAGGCAGAAAACAAUAUCCACGUCUACGUAACAAAUAAAAGAUUGUUGAAACUGACAAAAGAUAACCAAGCAUACCAGAAGUGCCUUCCAGUUAAGAACCACACAACAUCAGACAUCUGGAAAUUGAAGAGUAUAUCUAUAGCACGGGAAAUUCUAGGUAGAAGAGAAAAUGUAGUAGAAAAAAAAUACUAUUAUGUACUCCCUUUCCACCCCGAUUAAACAUAUCAAUGACCAUAAGAUUGUCGGUCCAAAAACCAGACCAAGACAGCCCCCACCUUAAGCUCCUACUUUGAUAGAAUCAGAACCUAUUUUGUAUCUCCUAUCACAGGGUGAGGCUGAAACCAACAUCGAGUCUAAAUAACAACAAAAGAACUACAAUAGAGAAAGCAAAGGUAACCAACUAUCAAACCCGAACUGCCGUCCAGUUAAGCUUGAUUAAGAACCACACAACGAUCGGGCAUCUGGAAAUGGAAGAGAAUAACGAUAAGCACCGGAAGGUCUAGAUGGAAGAUAAAUUGUAUUAGAAGAAAUACUAUCUAUACUCCCUCUGCCACCCUCGAUAAACACACUAUAUCAGUGACCACGUCAAAGGAUUGACUUGUGUGCAAUAACUUGACUAAGAUUAGCCCUACUUAAGCUCCUACUUUGAUAAAAUUAAAACUUAAUUUUUAUCUCAUGUCAUAGGGUGGGGCAGAAAACAAUAUCCACGUCUAUGUACAAACAAAAUUGUUGAAAUGACAAAAGAUAACCAAACAUCAAACCAGAAGUGUCUCCAGUUAAGAACCACCCAGAUCAGACAUACUGGAAAUUGAAGGUAUAUCUAUAAGACACGGAAAUUGGUAGAAGAGAAAAUUAAGUAGAAUAAAAACUAUUAUGUACUCCCUUUGCCACCCUCGAUUAACACAAUAUCAAUGACUCAUCAAAGAUCUGUCCGCGUACCAAAAACCAGACCAAGAUACCCCACAUUAAGCUCCUACAGUGAUGGAAUCAAAACCUAUUUUGUAUCUCCUGUCACAGGGUAGGCCCAAAACAAUAUCCAAGUCUAUAUAACAACAAAAGAUAUAUAAUAGAGAGAUCAAAUGCAACCAAUUAUGAACCCAGAACUGCCUUCCAGUUAAGCUUGAUUAAGAACCAAACAACGAUCAGGCAUCUGGAAAUCGAAGAGAAUAACAAUAAGCACGGGAAAGUCAAGAUGGAAGAUAAAUUAUAGCAGAAUUAAUACAAUACUAUACUCCCUCUGACACCCUCGAUAAACAUUAUAUCAGUGACAGCAUCAAAAGUUGAUAGUCUCCAUAACUAGACCAAGAUUAGCCCCACCAUAAGUGCUUCUUUCACAACUUAAUUUUUAACCCCUGUCACAAGGUGAGGCAGAAAACAAUAUCCACGUCUACGUAACAAAUAAAAGAUUGUUGAAACUGACAAAAGAUAACCAAGCAUACCAGAAGUGCCUUCCAGUUAAGAACCACCCCACAUCAGACAUCUGGAAAUUGAAGAGUAAAAUUAUAAGCACGGGAAACUCUAGCUAGAAGAGAAAAUGUAGUAGGAAAAAAUAACUAUUAUGUACUCCCUUUGCAACCCUCGAUUAACAACAUAUUAAUUGACAAUAUCAAAGAUUUUUCCGUGUCCAAAAACCAGACCAAGAUAGCCCCCACAUUAAGCUCCUAUUGCGAUGGUAUCAAAACCUAUUUUGUAUCUCCUGUCAUAGGGUGAGGGCCAAAUCAAUAUCCAAGUCUACAUAACAACAAAAUAACUAUAAUAGAAAGAGCAAGGGUAACCAAUUAUCAAACCAGAACUGCCUUCCAUUUAAGCUUGAUUAAAAACCACACAACAAUCAAGCAUCUGGAAAUUGAAGAGAAUAAAGAUAAGUAUGAGAAAGUCUAGGUGGAAGAUAAAUUUUAGUAGAAAAAAUUACUAUAAAAUACUCCCUCUGCUACCCUGGAUAAAACCUAUAUCAGAGACAGCGUGAAAGGUUUGAUCUGUGUCCAAUAACUUGACCAAGAUUAGCCCCACCUUAUGCUCCCUACUUUGAUAAAAUCAAAACUUAAAUUUUAUCUCCUGCCAUAGGAUGAGGAGAAAACAAUAUCCACGUCUACGUAGCAAACAAAAAACUGAUGAAAAAGAGAACCAAGCAUCAAACCAGAAGUGUCUUCAAGUUAAGAACCACACAACGACCAGACACCUGGGAUUGAAGAGUAUAACGAUGGAGAGUAUAACGAUAAGAACCAGAAACUCUGGGUAGAAUAGAAUAUGUAGAAGAUAAAAUACUAUUCUGUUCUCCAUCUGCCUCCCUCAAUAAACACUAUAUCAAUGCCGGCAUCAUAGAUUAGUCCAUGUCCAAAAACCCAACCAAGAUAGCCCCAACUUAGAGCUCCUACUUUGAUAGAAUUAAAACCUAUUUUGUAUCUCCUGUAACAGGGUGAGGCCCAAAACAAUAUCCAAGUCAACAUAACAACACAAAAACUACAUUUACAGAGCAAACGUAACCAAUUAUCAAACCAGCCUUCCCGUGAAGCUUGAUUAAGAACCACACAGAGAUCAGGCAUCUGCAAAUUGAUGAGAACAACAGUAAGCACGCGAUAGUCUAGGGAGAAGAUAAAAUGUUGUAAAAAAAAAUACUAUUCGAUACUCCCUCUGCCACACUCGAUAUUAACAGCGUCAAAGGUUUAUCUUCCGAUAACCAGAUUAGCCCCACCUUAAGCUCCUUCUUUUAAUACUUAAUUUUUAUCUCCUGUCAUAGGGUGAGGCAGAAAACAAUAUCCACGUCUACGUAACAAACAAAAAAUUGUUGAAACUGACAAAAGAUAACCAAGCAUCAAACCAGAAGUGCCUUCCAGUUAAGAACCACUGAACCACACAACGAAUCAUCAGACAUCUGGAGAUUGAAGAGUAUAACUAUAAGCACGGGAAACUUUAGGUAGAAGAGAAAAUGUAGUAGAAAAAAAAUACUACUCCAUGUACUCUUCCUAUUGCCACCCUUGAUUAACAAUAUACCAAUGACAGCAUCAAAGAUUUUUCCGUGCCAAAAACCAGACCAAGAUAGCCCCCACAUUAAGCUCCUAUUGUGAUAGAAUCAAAACCUAUUUUGUAUCUCCUGUCACAGAGUGAGGCCCAAAACAAUAUCGAGUCUACAUAACAACAAAAGAACUAAAAUAAAGAGAGCAAAGGUAACCAAUUAUCAAACCAGAACAGCCUUCCAGUGAAGCUAGAUUAAGAAGCUCAGAGCGAUCAAGCAUCUGAAAAUUGAUGAGAACGGUAAGCAAGGGCAAGUCUAGGUAGAGGAUAAAAUGUUGUAAAAAAAUUACUAUACUAUACUUCCUCUGCAACCCUUGAUAAAAACACAAUAUCAAUUUGUCAGCGUCAAAUGUUGGUCCGUGGCCAACAACCAGACCAAGAUUAGCACCACCAUAAGUUCCUAAUUUGAUAGAAUCAAAACAUAAUUUUUAUCUCCUGUCAUAGGGUGAGGCAGAAAACAUAAAUUCAUCAUGAUGAUCUUGAGGCUCCUCACCAGCGAUUAAUCUGUGGCCAGAGAAGAGAACAAUUGAGUAAAUUCAUAACUAUCAGCGUUUCCACCAACUGCCGAUAACCAUCAAACUAUCAGCGCGAAAGGAAAAGGACAAAAUAAACCUUCUGGCUUGAGAGAUCACGAGCUAUCCAAUCGGUUGCCCUACAGAUACAAACGAAAGUAAGCCCCGAUAACCAAUACGGCAGAGGAAAUCAUGAUCUAAAUAGACCGUCAAAACUUGAACUAUAAAAUCUGCACUCGUUGCGAAUAACUGAAUAUUAACCCAAAUCAGCAGAAGGAAUCACAAUAACCGAUCUACACAAAUCAAAUACGUCAAAGUAGAUUGAACAGAAAUCCUCCGCUAGGUCAUCUAUCCUCGCCGCCAUAUGUCAUACCAGACAGGGAAGGCUAAUGGAAAUCGCAACACAAGGAGAGAGUAACCCGAUCGAAAACACAAAACUUAAUCGCCAACGAAAUCGCACCACAAAACACAAUAACCCUAGAUAUGAAUUCAGGAGAAGAGGGCCACAAUAGAAGAAAAAUAAUAGCGAAACACGCAAAGAGGGGGGAUGGGUAGGAGAAUGUGGGGAGAUAUGGUAUAUA